GACGAACCGUGCGAACGUUAUUCGGAAUCACUGGGCUUAAAGCGCGUGUAGGCGGAUGGGAACGUCGGUAGUUGAAAGCCCCCGGCUCAACCGGGGAAGUGGUGCCGAAACGACCCGUCUGGAGGGACGUAGGGGGGACCUGGAACUUCCGGUGGAGCGGUGAAAUGCGUUGAGAUCGGAAGGAACGCCCGUGGCGAAAGCGAGGUCCUGGACGUCUACUGACGCUGAGACGCGAAAAGCUAGGGGAGCAAACGGGG
rnacentral:rRNA from 1 species